rnacentral:misc_RNA from 1 species
GUGACUCCCUAGUUGCACGUAAUUUUUCAAUUACCCCUUCAAGGUAGCUAAUGGCGGCCUCCUUCUCCGAAUAUUGGCGUGAGAUAGUCACAGCGAAGUGUGCAAGCUUCAAAAGAUUGAUCUUUGUCUCAAAAUCGGUGAUGAAGUUGUGGUAGAGCUGUAUGAGAGCAUCACCCGACUGAAGGACGGCGAGCGAGACGAACUGCUCGAGCUUGAUUGUGAGCUGAUGCCACAGCUUGCGCUCGUAGAGGUCGGCCAGGGCGGUGUACCACUCGGCGAGAUCCGGCCGGGCGGCGCGCUGCGCCUCAAGGUACUGGAGAGCCCCCGCCAUUACUGGAUCUACGGAGAUUGAUGGUGAGCUGCCGUGGAGGGAGGAAAUCGCCG